GACGAACGCUGGCGGCGUGCUUAACACAUGCAAGUCGAACGAAGUGGCGAACGGGUGAGUAACGAGUAAUCAACCUGCCCUUCAGAGGGGGUCACCAGUUGGAAACGACUGCUAAUACCGCAUACUGAUUGAGGGGUUUGCGUCUGAUUAGCUAGUUGGAGGGGUAACGGCCCACCAAGGCGAUGAUCAGUAGCCGGGCUGAUGGGAUGAACGGCCACAGUGGGAAUGAGACACGGCCCAGACUCCGACGGGAGGCAGCAGUGGGGAAUCUUCCGCAAUGGACGAAAGUCUGACGGAGCAACGCCGCGGGAGUGAUGACGGCCUUCGGGUUGGAAAGCUCUGUUAAUCGGGACGCGGUACCGGAAUAGAAAGCCACGGCUAACUACGUGCCAGCAGCCGCGGUAAUAC
rnacentral:rRNA from 1 species